AGUGAACGCUGGCGGUAGGCCUAACACAUGCAAGUCGAACGGCAGCACAGUAAGAGCUUGCUCUUACUGGUGGCGAGUGGCGGACGGGUGAGGAAUACAUCGGAAUCUACUUUUUCGUGGGGGAUAACGUAGGGAAACUUACGCUAAUACCGCAUACUACCUACGGGUGAAAGCAGGGGAUCUUCUGACCUUGCGCGAUUGAAUGAGCCGAUGUCGGAUUAGCUAGUUGGCGGGGUAAAGGCCCACCAAGGCGACGAUCCGUAGCUGGUCUGAGAGGAUGAUCAGCCACACUGGAACUGAGACACGGUCCAGACUCCUACGGGAGGCAGCAGUGGGGAAUAUUGGACAAUGGGCGCAAGCCUGAUCCAGCCAUACCGCGUGGGUGAAGAAGGCCUUCGGGUUGUAAAGCCCUUUUGUUGGGAAAGAAAAGCAGCAGGUUAAUACCCCGCUGUUCUGACGGUACCCAAAGAAUAAGCACCGGCUAACUUCGUG
rnacentral:rRNA from 1 species